rnacentral:lncRNA from 1 species
CUAAAGAAAACUAGCCAAUGGCAUCUCUUUCAACUCCCCUUCAAAGCUCCACUGCCUACUCCUCCACCUCCACUCUGUCCUCCUGCCCUUUCUCAACCAAGCCAUCACAGUUUUACCUCAGUGCCAAACGUAACUAUCAUCAGUUCACGGUUUCAUGCAAAAACAAUGAAAGCCAUGAACAAGUUGACAAUCUUGAUAGGAGGGAUGUGCUUUUGGGCUUGGGUGGCCUUUAUGGCACCUCAAACCUCAUCACCAACCCUUUUGCCAUGGCAGCUCCUAUAGCCGCCCCAGAAAUCUCCAAAUGCCGUCAUCCGAAGGACUUACCUUGUGGAGCAGUUGUCACUGACAAUUGCUGUCCGCCGGUGCCCGGCAAAGUCAUUGACUACAAACUCCCUCCACCACCUAAGGUGAACCGUUUUAGGCCAGCUGCUCAUUUGGUCAAGCAAGACUAUAUUGAAAAACUUAACAAGGCGGUCGAGCUCAUGAAAGCUCUGCCAGCUGAUGAUCCCCGUAAUUUUACCCAACAAGCAAAUGUUCAUUGCGCUUAUUGCAACGGUGCCUACAUCCAAUCAGGCUCUGAUCAAGAAAUUCAAGUCCAUAACUCGUGGCUAUUCUUUCCUUUUCAUAGAUGGUAUUUGUACUUCUAUGAAAGAAUCUUGGGAAAGCUAAUAGGCGAUCCCAGUUUUGGACUGCCCUUUUGGAACUGGGACAACAUUGGUGGUAUGACCCUACCGUCCAUAUUUCAGGACCAAUCGUCAGCACUGUAUAACCAAAAUCGUAACCAAAGUCAUCUGCCACCAACAGUCGUGGACUUGGGGUAUAAUGGUACGGAUACAGAUGCAACAGACAUAGAAAGGAUAAAAAACAAUUUGGCAAUCAUGUACCGUCAAAUGGUCACUAAUUCCACCACUGCCAAAGAUUUCUUUGGAAAGGAAUACCGGGCCGGCGAUGCGCCCAGCCCGGGUGCAGGGUCCAUCGAGGCCAUUCCCCAUAUCCCAAUCCACAGGUGGGUCGGCGAUCCAAGGCAGCCAAAUGGUGAAGAUAUGGGUAAUUUCUACUCAGCUGGAAGAGAUAUUGUGUUCUAUAGCCAUCAUGCAAAUGUGGACCGGAUGUGGACAAUUUGGCAGCAAUUGGGAGGUAAAAGGAAGGAGGUCCCCGAUCCAGAUUGGCUGAAUUCUUCCUUCAUUUUCUACGAUGAAAAUGCUCAGCCUGUCUGCGUGAAAGUUGGUGAUUGUUUUAGCAAUGAUAAAAUGGGAUAUAUUUACCAAAAGGUGGAUAUUCCUUGGGUCAAGAAUAAGCCCGUGGCCCGCGUGACAAAAUCUAGGGUGGCUUUCACUUCCGGGGCACCACAAGCUGAUAAGGUCUUCCCGGGACCCCUUAACAAGACCGUGAAAGUGUUGGUCAAGAGGCCCAAAUUAUCAAGAAGCAAGAAGCAAAAGGAGGAGGAGGAAGAGAGAUUGGUGGUGUCCGGGAUCGAGUUUUCCAUGGACAAGUAUGUUAAGUUUGAUGUUUUCAUUAAUGAUGAAGAUGAUAAUCCAAACGAUUUUGCUAAGUCCGAGUAUGUUGGGAGCUUUGCACAUUUGCCACACAAGGUUAAAGGUGACAUGAAAGUUAAGACUACUCAAACCUUUGAGUUGACUGAGAUUUUGGAGGACUUAGAUGUUGAAGAAGACGAUGCCCUGUUGGUGACUUUGGUGCCAAAGUCCAAAACUGCUCUUACCAUUGAUAGCAUCAAGAUUGAGGUUGCUGCUUGAUUCACCUGCUAGUACUUUUUUUUUUUUUUUUUUAAUCUCCUCCCUGGGAAAAAAUCUGGCAUUAGAUUUCAUCGAUUGCUUUGAUUUUGACCUAUGCAUGCAUGUUUCAGCACCAUGAAUAAAAUACUUCUGGUGUGCUUGUCACCAGUUAAUAAAAAUAUGUUUCAGCACCUAUCUGACAACGUCCCUUUUGGUUUUUCUUUUUGAAAAGUUUAAUUUACAUUAAAGUUUAAGAUCUUAUGACGCCAUCUAUCUAACUUUCUCCACUCAAAAAAAAAAGGAAAAAAAAAGAAAUAGAAAAAGACAAUUCUUCCUCAAUCAAAAUUAAAUUUUUCUGUGCGUAUCCAGAAGGAAAACAAAAAGUAAUCCUCAAGUACCACGUUUGGCAAAGCUUACAAGUGUUAGCUUCCGAUUCGCCAUUUCAAGUAGUCAGAUAGACUAUACAUUUAAUUUACCAAAAUAUAGGAGAGUAUUUUUUUUUUUUUUUUGAAAAAGAAUAUAGGAGAGGUUACAAAAAGUAAGGGAAUUCUACAAUAAUAAUGAUCCUUGCUUUUUGUGUGUUGAGGAAAGAGGUGAUUUCUUAAAUUUGUGCGAUCCCACUUUUCAUUUCAUAUACCACUUUUGAUUUCAUGUGCAACCUUAUUAAUUUGUGAAGACAGAACUUUAUAUUCUCCUACUUUCACAAUCAAUAGUUCAAUACAUAAGAAUAUCUGCAGCACAUGUGAAAGCUUGAUCAACAACAAAGGAAUUGAUUAGUUUCUAGCUCAAGUUGCCUAAUGAUUCAUAGGAAUGAAAGUUAAAAGGGCUUGACCCCGGCUCCUAUUUUUUAAUGUACAUUUACUUUAUAGGAAUAGGGUAAUAAUAUGCCAACCUACCCAAAGUUUCACGACCACGACAUGGAUCUCCCCUUGAAUUCUUGGAAGUGUAAUUUAGUGUUAAGUGUAUAAUAUGAGCUGUUAUACAUUUUUCUUAGAAUUCUAAGGGCGUUCUUGUUAUAGUGAGCAUCCACUUAAACACUAACAUCUUCCUUGUGUGCAACUGCUUCUUGUAAAACGAUCUAAGCAAGUGUCUUUAAAAUUCUUGGUCCGACUCUUAAGUCCUUGUUUUCUUCAUUUUUCCCUUAUAAUGCUUGAAAUUUUCUUUGAACAAUUAAAAGAAAAGUUGAAUAAGGACAGAUAAAGAUUAAUAUAACUUUAUAUAAGUGAAUUCUCUAUUCCUUUCCCCCUCCCUACUUUUGAAGUUCUUGUAGAUUUAUUACCAUUCGAAAUAUUUGACAAACUUGGCUCUCUCACUCUACAUUAAAUAGCUAUCGGUCAAAUUUACCAGGUUCGGAUAUAUUGCAGUCUUGUAGGACAAAGACCGACCAAUAAUUUGAUGUCAUCGGAAAUGCCUGUCGAGAAUUUACAAAGGGAACAUAUCCAGUCUCACAAAUAUAUGAAAUGGGGCAACAUAUAUAUUUGGUGAACCAUAUCCAGUCUCACAAAUUAAUCUUGAGUACAAUAAAUAUGCUGUGCUCCAAGAAUUAGACUAGAGAUGGAUCUUCUGUGGUGUAACCGGGCAAUGACCGACCAACCAGUAGGCUAUGUAUAUUGUUGUUGGAGUAGUUAGAUUCACAUUUGAGCUUUCACAUGCGAUGUUUCCCUCGCUACUACAAAAAUGUCCUUUUAUGACAUUUAAAAGCGUCAUUAUAGCUCAAUGUAAUGACGUUUGAUCUAUAAUGACGCUCUGCUAGAAACGCCGUCCAUUCCAGCGUCACUAUAAGUUUUAUGACAGUCAGAGGAGUCAUAAUUUAUAGUUCUGUUGGCAUUUGUAAACGUCAUUAUUUAUCGUUUUAAUGACACUUUAAAAUGACAAGAAAUCCUUUGGACAGAAUCUCAUACUCAAAAUGUCCCAUUUGUAGAAUAUUUUUUAAAUUCAUCAUAAUUUUAGAAAUUUCUCUGAAAGUCACCAACACACUUUGAUAAUCUUCAAAUGAAUCAUUCUCAUCUUUCGCCUUUCGAAAGGAUAAUUAUUCUUUCCUGCGAGCCCACAUCCGAAUUAGUACUAAUCAGUAUAAACUUGGCAUACCCCUAUAACUAUAAGUAGGCUUGUUGAUCGUUGGGGCCUUUAGCUUUCAAUUGUCUGUACUACUUGGUUGUACUACGAUACUAUACAGACGGAAAACUUAUAAGAAAAUAGACAAUUUGUACUACACAUUUCUCGGCGGCCAUAGGUCAGACAAUUCGUACAUCUUUUUAAUUGUUCAUAAAAUAUUUUAACCUUUUUAAUCUGUUUUUUAAGUGUAUCUAGGUAGAUUGCAUGUGGAAGCAGAGAAGAUAUCAUCUCCUCAGCCGGCAGGACUUUACCUAUGCCUUUUCUUAUCAAUUUCUUCUUUUUUUUUUUUUAAUUUCUCAAAACUCCUUAAAUUUACUACACACCUUUCUAUAGAACAAACCUCAGCUCUAAUAUCCAACUACAAGAUUAAUACUAUUUAUACUCAAACACAAAGAUUAUUACUUAUUAAAAGAACAACAUCAAACUUUAGUUUGAAACUCUGUAAAGAAAUUAUUAAAUCAAGCCUUAUUACGCUUUUAUGCUUUAGUAUUAGUAUAUGUUAAGUUAGUAGAGAGCCAGGUGUCAUUCGUAGAGUAAGUUAUUUUUCAGUUAGUAUGAUGACGACAUGAGAUACAGUCCCUUGUACGUAGUAGUCAGUACAAUAGUUGUCAGGCAGUACGGUAGUUGUAUGUGACAAGUAAGCCGCAUGGGACUACCAUGAGAGUCCCUCUGUUUCGUCUAAAGUGUGCAAUGGCCUAAGAUUCAUGAGAGUAGAAAAGCCGCAGCCUUCAUCUUCAUCGUGAGAAAUAAAAGGUUUUUUUUUUCCCCUUUGUCUCUUAAUCAAUUUCCUGAAGAUUUUCUCGUGGGUUUUUGUUGUCGAGUAAUUUCUUGAAGAUUUUCCUGUGAUGAUGGUUUGGGUCCAUCAAACUCAAAAAUACAGCAAAGAAUCUUGUUUGUUGUUUGAAUUUAAUUAUGAAUUCAUUUAUUUAUUUAUUUUGAGCAAAAGAGGUUUAUGAAUUUAAGAUAUUGAAAAACAAAAGCAUAAAUCCCAGAUUUUAUCCACAUACUACGCUCUAGUAAAAGCCUCGCUAGCAUGCAUAGUUUUUUCGGCUUCAUUGCUAUGGAGGCUCACACUGCUUUUGUUUUCCUCUCCAUUACUCAUCAAUUAUGUAUGCUAUAAAUUAUAAUAGAUGAAGCAAUCAGCAGAAAAUGCAUAUGAUAAAGUAUGUGUGUUUGAACUUAGCAAAGAACAAUAAUUUUAUUUGAUUUGGGGAGAACAAAAAAUUGCUUAUGAGUACUAAACCAGUGGUUUUCUCUUAACCAGGAACUUGUGCAAAGUAGUUUGUUUAGGCACCGAUCCUUUUGUCAAAGAAUACAAGCUUCGUUUUUCCAUGCAUCAGGAACUUUUGUACAUAUUUAUACGUGUUCUUCUUACAUUUUCUGUUUUUUUCCCUUUAAAGCGACUGCCCAGGAACUUGUCAGUUGUCACUGCCUUUUGUCUAUGCAAUUACAUUGAGCACUUGUAAUUGAGAUCAGAAGAGCAAAAUUUAAGUGGAUUAUUUGAGUCACAGUUUUUUUUUUCACUGUGCAAUAGUCUCUGCAAUGUGCAUUAUUUCAGCAGCAGGAGGUCAAAAUCACAGCAUCAGACAAUCCAGGUUCCAUGGACUGAAUUGAGGCCAUAUCAGGUUUACGUCUCUUUAGUAAGACACCCAUUUCUCUCGUAUUUCUUGACAGCGCACUCAAAUACCUGAGCAAAAUUGCAGCCUUCGCGAAGGAUUGAAAUCAAUUGAUCGCUUAGACGCUGAGUUUUGUAUAGGUCUGUCCCAUUUUGCCUUAACCAUUAAGUCAUCUUCACUUCCUCUUUAUCAUGGAUUUUCUGCUGGUCUGAUUCCUAUGCUGGCUCCAUAAACUGUUCCCGCGUUCCGCACUUCCUAAAGCAGGAAAAAAAUGCCUGGUACUGUAACUGAUUUGAAUCGAUUCUCAAAUCCUAAACUAAUGCAAGCGAAAAGUGAAAUAAUUGACAUUGCAGGAAAAAUAAAAUAAAAUAAAAAACAAAGCAUGCUCAGACUGUGAAUAUACUUCUAGAACGAGGGAAAACUGAAGUGUUAGGAUAAUCUGAGACAUUUAUGCCCACAUUUGUAAGGUAGGAAAAACUGCAUAAAUGGCAUUUGCUUAGGAGAAAAGAAAUGUCGAUGCUAAAUUUGGCUUGAUUUAUCAGAUUUCUAUUCAUUUCUUUGUAGAAAUCGAUAAACAAUAGCAGAUUGCGAAUUUCUGACCACCAACAUGGCUGCCCGUGAAUAACGUGGAAGCGUGUUCCACAUGCACCAUCUUUUUCCACAAAGACUUUGCCAUGAGAAAGAUUGAAGGAGACUUGGCAUGGAACUUUAACCUGGAUUGCAGGGCAAAGGGAAUUAUUGUGAUGGUAACAAUACGAAUUUUCAAUUAUUUGGGGGUCAAUAUAUAUAAUUACAGCACCUUUGAACUUGAAGGGUUUCACGGUUUUAUGUAUGUUUCUGCAUGGGAUCUAAAUUCAUUACCUUUCCCCCCCCCCCCUUUCUGGGAACCUUGUACAGAUUAUGGAGGAGAAGAACGUAAAUUUUUGGAUACAUAACUGCUGAUAAUGAACCAUGAAGCCUCGUUCUUGGACUGACUCUGUCAUGUGUGUUGAGGGCUAUCAUCGAUGUCAUAGUCAUUUACCGCAUAAGGACGUACAUGGAGGAAUGGCAUUUACAGCAAAUCCUCCCAGCCGCCCUUGAAAGCUUUCAAUCCGUUCGAGCUGAAACAAAUGAUCUGAGAGAUUUGAUUUGUUUGAAGAAUUAUAAACUGAAAGGAAAGAAAUGAAAAUGAUCCUAUUCCAAUGUGCACAAGGAUCCUCUUAUUUGAGCUUGACAUGCCCCAAAAUUGUAAAAAAUUUUAAAUCAAUGACAGUUUAUCAAGAACACUAAUUGUGGAAAGAAACAAAACUUCUAAUUGUGGAUUAAAUGUCAGAGGUGACAUAAAAGAAAUGUAUUCGUCCUACAGUAAAGGAUCUGUUUGAUCAAAUGACAAAGAUAUCAUCAUCUAAUUAAUAGCAAUUAAGCAUAGCAUGUGAAGUCCAAACAAGGCCAAUCUGGCUUCCUGAAUUCGGAUUGUCGGUAGUUUUGUAGUAUCUAUAGAGAUAAAUAAAAAUGAGAUAAAACGAGACUAGGAGAAAACCUUAAUACGCUACUCGUUCUUGUGGGGGAAAAAUAGUGCUCAGAUGUUAGGGAAGUAAGUUUGCGCACCAACUUUUGUCAGUCCCAACAGGAUUUUACUCAAUACAAUAACAUACGACUCGGUAGUGAAUUUUGGGAAAUUCGGCAAAAUGUUUUGGUAAACUCUAAGACGUACUUAUUAUCACCACAUGUAUAUAUUUUUUGAAAUAUAAGAUUUCUAAAAUGCUGAAUAUCUAAGAUGUAAUUUCUUUUUUUUGUGGUUUCCAAGUAUUAUAUUAUUGUCUUUAUGUAUGCUUUUUCACUGAUGUGAAUGUUCUCUUUGAUGUUAUUUAAGCAAAAUGUUUCUUUUUUUUAGUUCACUGUUCUCGCACGUCUCAUGUGCUGAUUUUAUCUUCCAUUUUAGUUAUUUUUUCAGUUUUUUUUGGUAUUAAUGAUAGGUGAAAUGAUUGAUAUUGCUGUUUUAGUUAGAUGUUAAUGAUCAUUAGUGAUGUUUCAAUUAAAAUACUAAUUUUUAACGAAAGAUGAGACUGACACUGGACCUUUUUGAGUACUUUCAUGAUGUUUCUUUGGAAUGAUUUUGGUGGUGCCCGACAACUUUAUGUGAUUCCUCUGUUUUCCAGUGCAUGAGCUGUGUGAAAACUAAAAGUUUAACAAACGCCAAAACGAUUGAGCUGACAGAAAGUUUUUUUGCGAUUGACCGAAUUAUAAACAGCAUUACAAUUGACAACCACCAAAAUUAUCAGAAUAAAUACUAAUAAUUAAUUCCAAGGUAAUCUAAUCUAAUCUUAAAUAAGGGUACACUACUUACUGCUAGUUAUCAUAAAGGGGUCAUAAAAUACUAAUAAUUAUAUUAUUGCUGUUUUGGAAUUUUAACUUACACUCUAAUAUGCCUAGACAAGGGUAAGGAGUACAGAUGCUAAUUACCUUGCCGAUACUGUGCAACCAGAUUUUUCAAUCUUUACGGUAAAAUGAAAUUUUCAUGGAUCAUUCUAACAUCACUUCUUUGGGUGCAAUUGUUCUUACAUCACGUCCUUAGAUUUUUUUUUUUUUUUUUUUUUUACCAAGCAAGUUAAGACUUUUGUGGUAAUAAAUUAACCGAAACCACAAUUGUUCUUUACAUCACGUCCUUAGAUAAGAAUGAAAUUUUUGGUGGAUUAUGGCCACGCGUAGAAAAAAAAAAUCUCAGAAACUAGACUAAGCCUAUAUUAAUUCAUAUUAUAUUUGUGCAUGGAAAUGUGUACAAGGAACAGAAAAGGACGGAUCGCAGAUGGUCUGUUAACAAAAUUUCACGCAAACAUCGAUCAAACCUUGUAUAAAAGGAUGCAAGUGACCUGGCCAAUUAACCACUGGGCUUAGCUCCCUGGCUAUCAGGAGGGACUUAAAUCCUUUCUUGGGUUGUAGGUGAGGAUUCAAAUCUCAUCUGUAAAAGAAAAAAGUUUUAAAGAUUGUAUCAUAACAUUUUCUUGAUCUAGUUGAAUUUGUAUAUCUAUUGGCCCUUGACAUAAGCUUUCUUAGGCUUUCCCUCUCCCCUAAAUUAGAAUAAAAUAGGUUAUAUCGUUGUCUUCUUAGGCUUCCCCUUUCCCCUAGAUUAGAAUAAAAUAUAGGUUAUGUUGUUGAGAAAAAAAAAAAAAAAAAGGCCGACCUAUGCAGAGGCUAGUACAUGCAAAGCCCAAAAUGCAGACCUGACAGUAUUAGUUCAUUCAGAUCCAAAAGUGGUAAAACUUCAGCAGGGAAAUGUGAAAGAAGGGAUGUCCUUCUUGGCCUCGGAGGGCUAUAUGGUGCAACCACACUUGGCACCAAACAAUCAAGCCUUGCGCUGCCGGUUUCACCCGAUAUUUCCAACUGUACCGAUGCCAGGGAGACUCCAAAUGGCAUACCGAUCAACUGUUGCCCUCCCUCCGCUGCGGGUAGCAGUGAUUAUACACCUUCUGCUCGCGAAGUCUACACAAGAAUGCCGGCUCACACGGUCAGCCAUGACUGCGUCAAAAAAUAUUCAUCUGCCAUUGCAAAAUGAAGAACCUUUCUCUGAGCGAUCCUCGUAAUUUUACCAACUAGCAAACGUCCAUUGCGUUACUGUGACGAAGGGUACUCUCAAUUGGGCUUUCCAGACAAAAAAUUGGACGUUCAUAACUCAUGGCUAUUUUUUCCGGGGCACAGAUGGUACCUUUAUUUCUUCGAAAGAAUUUGUAAAAACUUGCUUGAUGAUGAUACGUUUACUCUGCCAUUUUGGCAAUGGGACGAUUCUUCAGGCAUGCAAAUUCCACCCAUGUUUAACGAGAGCAAAUUGUCCCUAUACAAUUGCUUCCACAACCCAAAACACUUGCCUCCUAAAGUGGUGGAUUUAGCUUACAAAGGCACCGAGAGUCAAAUCCGGUACAAUUGUUGCACAAUGUACAAUAAUGCAUGUACACGAUUGGGUUGGCGGCCCUUCCCAGCCUAACAACAAGGACAUGGGAGUCCUAUAUUCAGCCGGCUGAGACCCCAUGCUCGCCAUGCCAACGUUGAUAGAAUGUGGUACAUUUAUAACAAAGUUUUGAAACGCAAAAAUAUUGAAACGCAAGAUUGGUUAAAUUCCUCUUUUAUUUUCUUCAAUGAAGCGGCGAGACCCGUUAGAGUGACGGUUAAGGACUCCACAAAUCUCGCCACGCUUGGUUAUACCUAUCCUGACUUGCAACCUUCUUGGUUAACAUGUAAACCAACAGCGCGUAGAAAUGGCCUGAACCUGACAAAAUUGUCUUUCAAUGCCCCUAAGGCUAGUGAAGUGCUGCCAAUGAAAUUAGAGAAACCCAUCAGCUUCGUGGUUGAGCGGCCUAAGAAGGCAAGGAGUGGACAAGAGAAAGCAGAGGCAGAAGAGGUGCUAAAGAUUAAGGGGAUCGAAUUUGAUAAAGGAGAAACUGUGGUGUUCGAUGUGUUUGUGAACGAAGACAAUACGAGUCCGUGUAAUCCGUGCAAGGCUGAGUCUCUAGGAAGCUCCCGCACCUUGGCGCAUGGACAUGGCAAGAAAUCUACCACUUCCCGCAGUUGUGCGAUUUCAGAGGCGUUGGAGGAAUUGGGAGCUGAUGAUUUUGACAGCAUUUUGGUCACUUUGGUCCCCAGAAGAGGUGUCGUGACCAUAGGUGGUGUCGAGAUUCCCUUUGUUCCUAAAUCUUAAAUGCAUUAAUAGCAUUGCAAAUACUACGUGCACAAUGUUGUGUGUUUGUGUAAUAUUGUAAUCAAUCGUAAGUACUACAAACUUUGAGAAGAUAUUUUACUAAAUAAUUUCGACAACCAUAACUGGAGUCCUCGUAAACUUACCUUUACAAAUGACUUUCAAUCGGGCUUCUAAAUUCAUCAUUCCUAACUCUCUCUCUCUCUCUUCCGCAUUUUGUGGGAAUGGCAACAGUAGUAUCACAUUAAAGACAGAAAGGGCCGACUUUGAAAACGAGGGCCUUUCUUUCUUUUCCUGGUUCGGGGCCGACUCACUUCGUUCGCGCCGACGAAAAAGAUUUCAGACAUUACCUGCCACCAAGGAAAUAGUAAUAGACUGCCAUCAAAUCUUCUUUUUUUUUUUUUUUGGUUGCCUACCACGGUAUUCGGGGCUUUGCCCUGAUUAAUCCGUUGGUCGAUUCGGUUCAUAUACCUGACUGUGAUGGGCGAAUCUCCCAACAAGGAUGACUGCAUACACAAGGUUUCGAAACCGAAACCUGUUUAAGCAGAACAAAACUGUUUAUCACUUGGCGCAACCCCGAUUGGUUGCCAUCAAAUCUUCUUCUAUUGUUCUUUAGUGCGACUGCAAUAGAAUGAUACCGUAUGGGUUGCGGUCUCAGUAGUCGCUGACAUUGAUAAGAAAAACAAUUGAACUCAAGAAGCAAGCAUGAUAUCAUAAAAUGUGAAUGCAAAAGGCAACAUUAAUUCGCCAUUUUUGUGUUCCACUUUUGCAACUCGAAUGUGAAUGCAAAGCUACGUAUUCCAGUCCAGAUUUACCAUGAACACACAUCAUUGGAAAUGAAAAUUUCAGUUUAUAAGAAAAAGAUAUUUGGUAGGCCAAAAACUUGUUCAAUAAUUGAAACAAACAAGGGGAGCUUAGGAAAUUUCCGGGCCAGAUAUGGGUACAGCACUUUCUUCUCGUCCCUUUGCAUAACAAUUCAAGCUUAGCAAUGAAUUUCUAGUCCCUAUCUUGAUCAAGGAGUCUGUUUGUAAGGUGUGUUUUUUCUGGUGUUUGUAUAAACUUUUACAGUAAUUUAUUGUGAAAGUUGAACAAAUUUUUUUGUAUAAAUAAGAUUUGAAAAAACUGAAAAAUUUUCAUGAUUUUUGCCUUUUGUUCUCCAUUCUUUUUUUCCCCCUUUCCUUCCUCUUUCUUCUUCCUCUCCACUCCUAUUUUGAUCUUCCUCCUCCCUCUCCAUUAUCGCCACCGCUGGUCGCCACCUCUCUCUCUCUCUCUCCCCCCCUCUUCAUCCUUGCCCCAUCCAUAUUGAUUAUAAAGUAUAAAUUCGUUAUUUCAUUUUAAAAUGUGGUGUGGCAGUCAAAUUACUACAAUGGGACCAUCAGCGGCCAUAACUAUCUCUCGUUAAAAUGUAAUUCAAAUAUUAAUAUUUUAAAAUAUAAAAUUAAAUAAGAGAAAUUUAUAAAUGCCAUUAAAUCAAAAAAAUAUCACUAAAGUAUGCAUAAAUUGCCAUUUUUUAAUGUCAUUAGAAAAGAAUUUUCUUCUAGUGUACAAUUAGUAGUGAAAUAAAGAAUCUUAGGGAAAUUAUUUGAAUUGUUUUCAUUUUCUUCACAGAGUUACUGUCCCAAAAUUACUAAAAAUUUUGGAUUGUGAUCUUUUGGACAUAUAUUUUUACAUUUUUUUCCACACAAUUUCCAAUCUCUUUUUUUUUUUUAAUCUUACAUACGUCACAUCCUUUAAAAAAAAUACUAUAAUAAUUUUUUUUCCAAAAAUUCUCCAAAAAAUGCAAUCUAAAUGGGGUCUAAUUAUUUCAAUGAAUCAUACAAUUUCAGGGUACAUCCAGACAAUAUCAAAUUGUGGGAUGAAUUUUACAAUCAUUAUUGAAAUGACACUAAUGGUCACUUUACUUGUGGUCCUUGAAUCUUAACCCAAUUAUGCAAAAUCUUGUGGUCCUUGAAUCUUAACCCAGUUAUUCAAAAUCACGUGUUUAACGCUGUUCUUCUAUUUAGCAAGAAGAAAAAUAAAAACGUCAGUGACACGGGGUCGCCAAUUGCUUCAGUAUAAGAACAGGAGCUUCCCUUAGCUUCUUCGCUACAACAUCCCCCUAAAGAAAACUAGCCAAUGGCAUCUCUUUCAACUCCCCUUCAAAGCUCCACUGCCUACUCCUCCACCUCCACUCUGUCCUCCUGCCCUUUCUCAACCAAGCCAUCACAGUUUUACCUCAGUGCCAAACGUAACUAUCGUCAGUUCACGGUUUCAUGCAAAAACAAUGAAAGCCAUGAACAAGUUGACAAUCUUGAUAGGAGGGAUGUGCUUUUGGGCUUGGGUGGCCUUUAUGGCGCCUCAAAC